rnacentral:rRNA from 1 species
GAAAAGAACUUUGAAAAGAGAGUUAAACAGUACGUGAAAUUGUUGAAAGGGAAACGAUUAAAGUCAGUCGUACCAGCGGGAAAUCAACCUUUCGAGAGUGGUAUUUUGGAGUUUUGAAGAGUGUUAAAAACCUUUGAGAUUUCAAAAUUUUCGCUUUUUUGGUGUACUUUCUCGUAGGUAGGUUAACAUCGAUUUUUGAUCAUCAUAAAAGGACCGGAGGAAUGUAGCUUCGAUCUCGUAUUGAAGUGUUAUAGACUUUGGUAAAUGUGGUGAUUAGGAUCGAGGAUUGCAACGAAUACCCUUUUUAGCUAUCCGUCUGAUCUCUGAUACGUGACCUCGGUAUCGAAAGCACGCUUAUGGCAUACAAGUUGGCGGUCAACAGGUUAGAACGCGAUUACAU